rnacentral:rRNA from 1 species
GGAGUUAGCCGGUGCUUCUUCUGUGAGUGAUGUCCUUCCUGCCGGCUAUUAACCCGCAGGCCUUCUUCCUCACUGAAAGUGCUUUACAACCCGAAGGCCUUCUUCACACACGCGGCAUGGCUGGAUCAGGGUUGCCCCCAUUGUCCAAUAUUCCCCACUGCUGCCUCCCGUAGGAGUCUGGGCCGUGUCUCAGUCCCAGUGUGGCUGAUCAUCCUCUCAGACCAGCUACGGAUCGUCGCCUUGGUGAGCCGUUACCUCACCAACCAGCUAAUCCGACAUAGGCUCAUCCGAUAGCGCGAGGCCCGAAGGUCCCCCGCUUUCCCCCGUAGGGCGUAUGCGGUAUUAGCCUGGGUUUCCCCAGGUUAUCCCCCACUACCGGGCAGAUUCCUAUGCAUUACUCACCCGUCCGCCGCUCGCCACCAGGGAGCAAGCUCCCCGUGCUGCCGCUCGACUUGCAUGUGUUAGGUCGUCGCCGCCGACGCGUCACUCUGAGCCGACGAGUACAACUACUCGA